rnacentral:rRNA from 1 species
CAGUAGCCGCGGUAAUACGUAGGGUGCGAGCGUUAGUCGGAUUUACUGGGCGUAAAGCGUGCGCAGGCGGCCCGUUAAGACAGGUGUGAAAUCCCUGGGCUCAACCUAGGAAUUGCGCUUGUGACUGGCGGGCUCGAGUACGGUAGAGGGGGGUGGAAUUCCUGGUGUAGCAGUGAAAUGCGUAGAGAUCAGGAGGAACACCGAUGGCGAAGGCAGCCCCCUGGGCCUGUACUGACGCUCAUGCACGAAAGCGUGGGGAGCAAACAGGAUUAGAUACCCCAGUAGUCCCUGUCUCUUAUAC